GCGAAGGCAACUUUCCGAGUGAGCUGAAGGCAUUGAUAAACAAGAGGUUUGCGUUUAAGAUAGCCAUAGCUUCGUUUAAUAUAAAAUAGAAAUCAGAUGGCUACUCUGUUUCCAAGUUGACUGAAAAUCCUUCCAUCAUCAAAGAUCUUGAUACUCAUUUUGAUGUUUACCAGGCUGCUGAUGAAGAACCUUUAGAUCCUGUUGCUUCUGAUCCAAAUCCAAUUGUUAACGUUAACAUCCGGGAUUCUGUUUCCCGUGUCGUUGAUGAAGACACUCCCAUGUCCAGUUUGAACAACAGCAUCUUUACUACACCCUCUGGAGCUCAUAAUAGUUGUUCUUCAAAGAUGCUGGACAAUGAGCUGAAGCGUAAUUUGGAGACGGUUUAUGAUGUGGAUCUUUGUUCUUCUCAGUCUUCAACUAAACCGCGUCAGGGUGAUUGUGAGAACAAUGAAGGUUUGAAGAUGAAAGCAAACCUGGAAAAUUAGUAUUAACAUUUAAUAGUCAUUUCAGUUUUUUUCGAACAAUUUGAGAUGUUUUCUUUUGGUUAAUUUUUUCCGGAACAUUUAUUUUAGUACUUGAUGUUUGGUUUCAUAUGGAUAUUUCGUUUAUUA